ACACAUAAAAAUUAAAAAUCAUAUAAUUUACUCGUUUCGCUCAGAAUCUAAAAAAUCAAAAUCGUUAACCCUUCCAACAUCCUUUCUCAAAUAGUGGCACAAAUAUCAGCAAUAUUUUUUUAAAAUCAUAAUCGUUAAACCGUCUUUCCAAACAAUGCCUCUUACAGUCUUUUUUAUUCAAUGCUACCUCCUUUCAGUCCGAAUUUCUUUGUUCCUUUCCUGAGCUGCUCG